AAGACAUGGUGAAAUGUUUAGCCAGAAUGACUGAAAACAAUGUCAUUAAGAAUAAAAAGUAAAAAUUGCGAUCAAGAAAAAAAGCAGAAACCAGACCUAGAGAAUCACUUGCAAACCUCAGGUUUUAGAACAGAUAUAUGUCUGAAGAAAUAAGUAAGUUGAGAGGUCAAAUGCCUGGGCUGUCAAGAACAGAUCUGGGAGCAGAGGGUAAGAUAGGUCAGCUGGGGGAGGAGCCAAGAUGGCCGAAUAGGAACAGCUCCGGUCUACAGCUCCCAGCGUGAGCGACGCAGAAGACGGGUGAUUUCUGCAUUUCCAUCUGAGGAUGAUUAACAGCAUUCAAGGUGGUGGCUACACAUCACAUCAGCCUGGAUUCUCAAGUAGGAAGAUACGCAACAGAGCAUCCAGCUGACCUUCACUGGAUAUGUUGUAUGAACAAGAAGUAAACUUCUCUUGUUAAAAGCCAUUGAAAUUUUGGAGUUGCCUUGUUACCACAGAGAAUCUAGCCUAACCUGUAUAAUAUAGUGACAAAGAGCAUGCAGCAAUAUGGUGGGGACGCAUACUACAGCUGAGCUCUGGACAGGAAGUUUUCCAUUUUAUGAGAAACUCAAACCACCAAGAAAACCAGCUUAUCUCACAAAAUAUUUUUAUACUUCUCUAGAACUCAGUAAGAGGCCCUCAACGGAUUGGAUGAUGCCUCUCCACGGUCCACAUCGGUGAGGGUGAUUGUCUUUACUCAGCCUAUUGAUUCAAACACUAAUCUCUUCUGGAAACACUCUCAGACUCACCCAGAAGUAAUGUUUGGCCAGCCAUCGGAGCAUCCUCUGGCUUAGUCAAGUUAACACAUAGAAUUAACCAUCACAGAAGGCAACAGAAAAACCUUUAAAGAAUCAAUAGAAAAUAUGUGCAUCAGAAAAUAUUGCUGGCUUACCCAAAAGCUAUUUCCCUUUUGUUCCUUACUAACAACUCUUACUUUGUUUAUAUUUGAGGAAGUAAUGUACUUAAGGAAGUUUUGUCUCUAACCCAGCAUUCAAGAAUGCGAAGACAAUCACGUUAAUCCCAUUUCCUCUACCAGUGAUUGGUGUGGAGGUGGGCAUAUCACUCACUUAUAACCAAAAGGUCCUGAGGGGGACUUACUAAGAACUUUUCAGAAAGGUUUUUCUCCAUGAUUAAAAGAAAAAUUGUAAAGGAAACAUCCCUUUCCUGUUUGAAUUCACUUGUGUGAGGACGUGAUGCUUGUAUCUAUGGCAACCAUUCUGUAACCAUGAGAUGAAAGCUAAAAGAAUCACAGAGAAGCUGACCCAAAACCCAGACAACUACAUUGCUGAAUCAGCAAACCUCAGAACUAUUUAUUUCCAGAUUUGUGUUGUAUGAAUAAUGAAUUCUUGUUUUUAGGCUCUAGUAAAUAUUCCAUUUCUUAGAGCAAACAGCAUUCUCAUGGAUAAAAUAUUUAUGAAUAACAUCCAUCUGUUUCCCUUUUAUUCAAUAUUUCAAGGUUAUUGAAAUUAUUAUAAAUAAAAUCAUUAAUAUUAUUUUUAAUCUACAUUUUUAUUUAGGUAUAACUAUAAAUUAGGCAUAACAAUUGAUAGCAUCUGAUAGACAUGAUUAGAGUUCAUGGGAAUAUACAGCUAAAUCUUUACAAAGGUCAUUAUAGCAGGUCAUUUUACAAUGUCUAGAGUCUUUACCAUCUCAUUUAUAUUUUCUCAUUUGAC
rnacentral:lncRNA from 1 species